UACGUAGGGUGCAAGCGUUAAUCGGAAUUACUGGGCGUAAAGCGUGCGCAGGCGGUUUUGUAAGUCUGUCGUGGAAUCCCCGGGCUCAACCUGGGAAUUGCGAUGGAGACUGCAAGGCUAGAAUCUGGCAGAGGGGGGUAGAAUUCCACGUGUAGCAGUGAAAUGCGUAGAUAUGUGGAGGAACACCGAUGGCGAAGGCAGCCCCCUGGGUCAAGAUUGACGCUCAUGCACGAAAGCGUGGGGAGCAAACAGG
rnacentral:rRNA from 1 species